GUACUGAUGAAGAGUCCCACAAUAGGACAAAACAGCCGUCCAGUGC
rnacentral:hammerhead_ribozyme from 1 species